CUCAUCGAGGAGCGUUGCGACGGGGUAUCGAUGCCCCGCCAGGCUCGGUGAGGUGUUUUCAACCAUAACGGCGCUCGAUUCAC
rnacentral:ncRNA from 1 species